GAAACAAAAAACGGGUGCCAUUUAGCAAUAAACAAUUGCACGAUUAAUUUUAACACUGCAGCGGGUUGUUAGCACUCGGAUCAACCUUAUCGCGUUUCAUUAGCCCCAAAACAUUUGUCAACCGGCCAGAGUUUAUUUCAAGUUUUUCAAAAAUCAGAGGCCGUUGACAUUUCACUGCCUUGUUGGAGAGGUCAGGGCUUUUCAAUAUGUUGUUUUAUAUUUACUUAAUUCACCAACAAUAAAAUUCAACCCGGUGCCUAAUCACUUUUUAAUCAUUAUAUAUUGUGUUUAGAUAGUAUAUAUACAUUUAAUACAUAUUCAUAAAUAUAAUCGUACUACUUGUCGAAGGUUUAUUUUCUUAUUUUUGCAAUAAACAGACAUCACCUUUGGUAAUGCAGGAUUCACUAGCAGUUAACUUAGUACGGGGUACCCACUAGUCGAAGAAUGGGCAUUUCCCUCUUUGUUGACGUUGCGAGUCAGCUGUGCCUUAGUGCUGGUUAACAAACUAAACAAUUUACCAUUUAUCGGCCAAUUGGCGCCAAGUUUAAAAUGCACAAGUGUCGGUUUUCAUCUUUAUGUUUAUUAAAACGUUACAAUUUAAUUCUAUUACACUUUUGCUUAUAAACGAAAGAAACAAAUCAUUGUCAAUUGGUACAUCAUAUUUUAUACAUCGUUUUCAUAUUUCAAACUUCUAGCAAUCAACAAAAGGCAAACACCAAGGUUACAACUUAUUUUUAAGAGCGUACAAAUCAUAUAAAAAAUCGGCAAAAAACAUGGAUAUUGACAAGCAUAGAUACAAAAAUCAGUUAUGUCUCUCAUUUGGGGAUGGCUCGAAAGUGACCAAAAUUUUUUUCUUGCCUGUUCUUUAUGUACAAAAAUAAAAUGUCCUAAAUGUUUAAAAUGUCGAAGUUUGUCGUUGAAUGUGCGCGAAUGGAUUUGGGGUUGGGUUGGGGCGAUCCCUAUGAGUGAGCCAGUGGAGGGGUAUUGCGGAAGUCCCUUUAUUGAAAAUUGUCAAGUUCUUAUACGUGCCGGUGUUGUGCUGCUGAUGCUGCUCCUGUUGUUGUCCCAUUUUAUGGUAAUUCCUAACUAACAUUUCUCGGAAAGAGUAAAACACGG
rnacentral:sRNA from 1 species